rnacentral:rRNA from 1 species
AGAACGCCCGAUCUCGUCCGAUCUCGGAAGCUAAGCAGGGUCGGGCCUGGUUAGUACUUGGAUGGGAGACCGCCUGGGAAUACCAGGUGCUGUAAGCU